rnacentral:tRNA from 2 species
GGUCGGGUUGCUCUGCUGGCAGGGGCCGCUUCGUUCUCAACGAAGACACGACGCGGGUUCGAUUCCCGUCCCGACUA